UGGGCAGUGGAGACAUUGUCCUUCAGUUAGGCUGGCCCCAGAACAGGUGCUGCAUGGCUGUCGUCAGCUCGUGUCGUGAGAUGUUGGGUUAAGUCCCGCAACGAGCGCAACCCUCGCCCUUAGUUGCCAGCAUUUAGUUGGGCACUCUAAGGGGACUGCCGGUGAUAAGCCGAGAGGAAGGUGGGGAUGACGUCAAGUCCUCAUGGCCCUUACGGGCUGGGCUACACACGUGCUACAAUGGUGGUGACAGUGGGCAGCGAGACAGCGAUGUCGAGCUAAUCUCCAAAAGCCAUCUCAGUUCGGAUUGCACUCUGCAACUCGAGUGCAUGAAGUUGGAAUCGCUAGUAAUCGCAGAUCAGC
rnacentral:rRNA from 1 species